rnacentral:rRNA from 1 species
GUUUACUGAUUAUUAUACAGGAAAUAUGACAGCGAAGACGGCCUCCAUGCCUCUCGAUCGAGUAAAUCUCUCCUGGCCUUCAGGAGGCUGCUGGAAAUCAACCACCGCGAGGUCCUCAAGGAGCUCUACCGCAGGAAAAUCAACAACGUUCGAUACGUAUUCUGUUCCAAAGCUAUCUACUUCAUGGUGUACGAGAAGUACCGCAGCUGGCUCCUAGGCACUAUUCCCUCGCUCGGCGGCAGCCUGGUCAGGACUUGCUUGUCGGGUCGGCCGCGACGGCACAUCCCCAAUAGAUACGUAUCCCCUCAACUCGCCUUCUGUCACAGUUUGCUUGGUACCCUCACUAAUACAUGUUCGAUCUGAUAUAUGUUAUGACAAUCUGAAGCGCGUCGGGCCAUGGACAAUGUUCGAUAAAGCGGCCAUUACUAGCGACAUGAUGGAGUACAUCCGCUCCCCAUGUAUGACAUAUUGUAGGCAUUGGCCACAAUCCUUGAAUUGACUAGAAACACAGGAGACCUGUAGUUUAAGAUGAUGCUCGUCUAUGCCUUUUUGGUCUAACUCUGAAAUCCAUCAGUACCUCUAGUUAGCCAAGGACGAGGUUGAAUUUUCGUUGCCUCAGAUUUGAUGUAGCGUGUUGGCAUUGCUAACUUACCCAUAACACAUGGUCAAUCGAGUUUCAUUUUGGUAUUGUGAGUCUAGGAGCGCACAUGCACUAUGUUUACUGGACAUCGAAGAGGGGCUGCCUUUGCACGUCAUGGGUUUCGGAUUGAAGGAAAAUUGGGCUGGACUGUUCUGCUCAUGUUAAUUGAUGGAGCUAAAUGUAUUGCCUGGCGGAAGAUUAGUAUAAUAGAAAAAUGGGGUAGGGUUGCUCGUCCGUUCCGUAUAGGUAAGGUUUGUAAUUUGGAAUACCGAGCAAGUUCUCAAGUAGUGACACCCUGAAGUUUCAUUCUAAUUUCAUCAGGUGUUUGGUGCAUGAGGAGAUUUUUCAUAGUAAUCAUAACACUUCCUUUCCAUACAGCAAGAUGAAACUAAAUAUUUUGUUCAUAGUAAUCAUACCUAUUCCUUUCAAGCUGAAACUAGACACAUCCUCAUCAGGUAAAUUGAUUCAUGUUCUUACUUCAUGUCCAGACAGCAAGACGAAACUAAAUACUUUUGCUAGCGUAUUUGUUGGAUCUUGAUUUUCGUAUAUGUUUAGAUUUGUCUUACACAUGUUUAAGAACCAGAUUCAGAGUAUUGCCAAGGGAUAGCCCAACGUCUUCUUGUGAAACUAGAUUAAUUGUACAAGAUUGAAUGUGACAAAACAUUAUACAUGAUAAUCGUUUCUUUGAAGUUUGAAGGUGGCACAUGACAUCUUUUCAAUUAUAUAUUCAUUUAAUUCAGUUGGAGAGGAAUAAAUUAUGUUAAGAAUCAGUACCAUGAUAUUUUAGUAUGAUUGGUCCUUUUGGAGUACAUUCAUAACACAAAAGAAUUGUUUGGUGGCCUCAUACAUUUUUCUCGUGCCUACCUUUGCAGCACAUCAGUGACAACAUGCUUGGCCAUAUGUCUCAAUUUCGGUGUCUGAAAGCACAAGAUUAGAUGACUUUUCAGAUGAUCGGAGACACGGUAAGGUCUCUAUAUUAAAGUUAUUAUGAGUCAACCUAAUAUUUUAUUCUGUUUAUUGCAAACAGAACCAGAAUCCAAGAUACGAAUACGCAAUUUAGAACCUUUAUGUGGUGUGAACAAGAUGAACAACAGAAGAGAAUGGUGAGGGAAUCGGAAUUAAAUGGAAAACAGGGUUAGCGGCUCAGAUCAGCGACAUGAACUCCUCGAUUUUCCCUAUUGUAUUAGCCCAAGUACGGAGUAUCUUUAUCCUGCUCUCGCCAGUGGGAUACGAAACGCACUCUUCCAUCCAGUUCCUCCACCCGGUCAACCCAAGUACAUUGCAAACGAUGUUUGCUUGUAGGGAAGCAUCAUUGAAUUAAAUGUAUUUACGAGUUAUAAAUGUUAAGUAUGUGGAUACUUUUCCCCCGUUGCAACGCACGGGCAUUUUGUAUUGGGUUGUCCUGGUGUUGCAACCUAGGAAGUACA